rnacentral:rRNA from 1 species
UAGGGAAUCUUCGGCAAUGGACGAAAGUCUGACCGAGCAACGCCGCGUGAGUGAAGAAGGUUUUCGGAUCGUAAAACUCUGUUGUUAGAGAAGAACAAGGACGUUAGUAACUGAACGUCCCCUGACGGUAUCUAACCAGAAAGCCACGGCUAACUACGUGCCAGCAGCCGCGGUAAUACGUAGGUGGCAAGCGUUGUCCGGAUUUAUUGGGCGUAAAGCGAGCGCAGGCGGUUUCUUAAGUCUGAUGUGAAAGCCCCCGGCUCAACCGGGGAGGGUCAUUGGAAACUGGGGGACUUGAGUGCAGAAGAGGAGAGUGGAAUUCCAUGUGUAGCGGUGAAAUGCGUAGAUAUAUGGAGGAACAACAGUGGCGAAGGCGGCUCUCUGGUCUGUAACUGACGCUGAGGCUCGAAAGCGUGGGGAGCAAACAGG